rnacentral:rRNA from 1 species
UACGUAGGGUGCAAGCGUUAAUCGGAAUUACUGGGCGUAAAGCGUGCGCAGGCGGUUUUGUAAGUCUGACGUGAAAUCCCCGGGCUCAACCUGGGAAUUGCGUUGGAGACUGCAAGGCUAGAAUCUGGCAGAGGGGGGUAGAAUUCCACGUGUAGCAGUGAAAUGCGUAGAGAUGUGGAGGAACACCGAUGGCGAAGGCAGCCCCCUGGGAUAACACUGACGCUCAUGCACGAAAGCGUGGGGAGCGAACAGG